rnacentral:rRNA from 1 species
AUUGAACGCUGGCGGCAGGCCUAACACAUGCAAGUCGAACGAGUGGCGGACGGGUGAGUAAUGUCUGGGAAACUGCCUGAUGGAGGGGGAUAACUACUGGAAACGGUAGCUAAUCCCGCAUACCAUCAGAUGUGCCCCGAUGGGCUGAGCUUGUUGGUGUGGUAACGGCUCACCAAGUCGACGAUCCCUAGCUGGUCUUAGAGGAUGACCAGCCACAUGGGAACUGAGAAACGGUCAAGAGUCCUAAGGGAGGCAGCAGUGGGGAAUAUGGCACAAUGGGCGAAAGCCUGAUGCAGCCAUGCCGCGUGUAUGAAGAAGGCAUUCGGGUUGUAAAGUACUUUCAGCGGGGAGGCGUGACCCGCAGAAGAAGCACCGGCUAACUCCGUGCCAGCAGCCGCGGUAAUUC